UUUAGUAUCCUGGCGUCAGGAUAAACGACUGGCGGCGCACAUAAGACAUGCAAGUACGAACGAACUUAACUCAUUCUUUUAGAUUGAGAGCGGUUAGUGGCGGACUGGUGAGUAACACGUAAGCAACCUGCCUAUCAGGGGGGAAUAACAGUGAGAAAUCAUUGCUAAUACCGCAUAAGCUAGUAGUAUCACAUGAUACAGCUAGAAAGGAGUAAUCCGCUGAUAGAUGGGCUUGCGCCUGAUUAGCUAGUUGUGGGGGUAACGGCCUACCAAGGCGACGAUCAGUAGCCGAACUGAGAGGUUGAACGGCCACAUUGGGACUGAGAUACGGCCCAGACUCCUACGGGAGGCAGCAGUCGGGAAUAUUGCGCAAUGGAGGAAACUCUGACGCAGUGACGCCGCGUAUAGGAAGAAGGUUUUCGGAUUGUAAACUAUUGUCGUGAGGGAAGAAGAUGACAGUACCUCAGGAGGAAGCUCCGGCUAACUAUGCG
rnacentral:rRNA from 1 species